UGGGGAAUUUUGGACAAUGGGCGAAAGCCUGAUCCAGCCAUGCCGCGUGAGUGAAGAAGGCCUUCGGGUUGUAAAGCUCUUUUAGUCGGAAAGAAAGAGUUGCAAUGAAUAAUUGUGAUUUAUGACGGUACCGACAGAAAAAGCACCGGCUAACUACGUGCCAGCAGCCGCGGUAAUACGUAGGGUGCGAGCGUUAAUCGGAAUUACUGGGCGUAAAGGGUGCGCAGGCGGUCUUGCAAGUCAGAUGUGAAAGCCCCGGGCUUAACCUGGGAAUUGCGUUUGAAACUACAAGGCUAGAGUGCAGCAGAGGGGAGUGGAAUUCCAUGUGUAGCAGUGAAAUGCGUAGAGAUGUGGAAGAACACCGAUGGCGAAGGCAGCUCCCUGGGUUGACACUGACGCUCAUGCACGAAAGUGUGGGGAGCAAACA
rnacentral:rRNA from 1 species